AGAGUAAUUUAUUUUGCCCAAUUUAAAUUACAUAAGAACAAAUUUACAAACUAAUUUAAGGGGUAUAAUAUCACUCAUGAAGAAAUAAGUAACUAAACUAACUACAAACUAAUUACAAUUCUAACACACACUGAGAACCAACACAAUAAUGAAUAUGUGAAUGUCUAGUCAAUAAUACUUUUCUCAAUGUAAAACUUCAGUUCCAACAAAGUAUGUUGAUGCAGAGUUGCAGACUCUUCUAAUUCUAUAUAAACCAAUUAUAUAGACAUGUGAAGUUCACUUUUCCAACACUGUUAAGAAAAAGUUCAUUAAAAGUGAACUAAUUUAAAUAGAUUGUGACAUAAAAGUUUACAUAAAAAGAGACACCAAUACUUAGGGGAAAAUUACCUCAUGAACAACUUCCGUAGAUUGUGACAUAUUGCACACUAUAUAGACAACAUGCCAAUCAGCUUAUAAGCAGCAUUUUGUACGGCCUAAAAUCACGAGAGAUAUAAUUAAUAAUUCAAACAUAUUAAUCAACUUACUAAGGGUCUAUAUAUGUAGCAUUGAGAGAUAUAAUUCAAAUGCAAAAUAACAUGACACUAAACAACACAACAAAAUCUAAAUAUCAGAUGAGACUAAUUUACAAACACGUUACUAUCUUAAUUAAGGUAUGUUAUCAAAUAAAAGAAAGACAUUAUUAUCAAAAAUUUUAAGUUAUUUGACAAAAUAGGCAUAUUUGAGCUUACCUUUGUGUGGAUUAAAAAGAGACUAGAUAGAUGUCAAUAACUUGAACCUUUGUGUGAAUUUCCUAUGUUUGAGAGCGAGAGAUGUGCCAAACCUCAUAGCUUAUAAGUUUGUGUAGAACCUCAGAUUAUAAAAUAAUUUUAUAGCACACAAACGCUGCACAACAUGAACACGUCAGUUUAGUAUUUUUUGCACCCAAAAUAAAGGAAGAGAUGCGAGGAAUAAAGGAAAAAAUGGGUAUUCAAGCUCGCUCAAACAAGUUCAAGACCAGAAAGGGAGAGAGUUCAUACUUGUAAAAGGAUUGAAUCCACAAAAUUUCUUUUGAGUAACAGGAAAUACCUGUCACGUGACAUGAUAAACAAACUAAAUAACUUCUAAUAAUUGAUAUUGGAACUAAGAUAAUGGCAGCAAUGCAUAUGUCACAACAGUUGACAUCUGUCAUUGCCGCCUUCUAUGCACAUUAUCAGUAAGAGGAUUAUAGAUUAGUAAACAAUUGAAUAAUAAGUUAAACACAAAGUGAACACUUCAUAUCCAGUCCCCUUCUAGCUAUGUCAGUACAAGGGAGAAUAUUACAAUCCUCAGACUUGAACUUAUCCAAGUUGCUUUGGCUGUCAGAAGAAACAUAUUAUAAUCUAAAUAUAAGUGAGAGAUAUCAUGGUGGCAUUGGCAGACCUACAAACAAAAAUAAUGGGGGGAGCUGCUAAAGAAUCACACCAUCUAACACAGCACGCCCUCCAAUAACAAGUCAAAAUGAAUUGAUUCAAGCCAUGUCAAUCAUAGAAUAUCACAAAAGUAUAAAACUGAACCAAGUGUUACGAAAAAGUUCAGUAAUAGUGAACUAAGUUAAAUAUAGUAUUUACAGAGGUUUACAUAAAAAGAGACAACAAUACUUAGGAGAGCAAGGGCGAAAAUUACCUCACAAACAACUUCCAUAGAUUGUGUCAUAUUAAUAGCUAUUGAAACUGAUUUGAACUUGUAUACAAGGGCUGCAAUUUCUUUCAAACUUGACAUAUUUUGAGAGCCCAUCACCUUGACCUCUCGCAAAACCAAACUGAUUUGAACUGGUAUACAAAGGAAGAACUGGAACUAAACAACCAGUUCUUUAAUAACACCCUAUAGCAAGGCAAACACAAACGGCAUGCUUCGAUCUUUUCAAACAAACUAAAACGAAAUAAUCUCCCAAAACUAACAACAACAAACCAGGACAAAGCAAUAAUUAUCAUCUAUUGUGAUAAUUGUUGUGGCUGCAUUACAACAGUAAUACACUUAUUAUUAUGAGUUGCAGAGUAUUAAUAAAUGAUAAUGAAAGCCUAAUAUAGCAUUAUCAGAUAUGUAAACCAACCACAAGAUAAGGUCCAAUUUCCUGUGAACCUGUAAUGAUAAUAGAGUAAAAAACACAGAACCAAAAUCAUAGUAAUCAUCAUAAGAUUCAUAGCCUCUAUGUAUAAAGUUGCUUCCCCAAAAUUAUAUUAUAAGAAUAAUUUAAAAUAGAUACUAAUCCACCAAAUUAAAAACUGUUAAAAUGUGGAAAAAAGAGAAUAUGUAAUAUUCCAACAAAUUAAAAUUAUUCUCAACUCAACAUCUCUCAUCACUACACAACAACUAGAAGGGAAAAUAAUAAUAAUAAUAAUAAUAAUAAUAAUAAUAAUAAUAUGGAAAUUGCAAUAAUCUCUUUGCAACACAGCAACAGAAACAGAAAAGGAAACAAUAGCAACAAGAAAUUGCAAUCAAACAACUAAAAAAAGAAGUUAGGGUUUGCAGAUUACAUAUACGGACUAAGAGAGCUCCGAUGGGGUUCAAGUUUGCAGUGAAGGGUUGGAGUUUGCAGCGAUGGGGUUCGAUUUCUCGGCGGUGAAGAGUAGGAUUUCUGGGUUUUAUGUGAAUGAUUCGAGUUUGACUAAGGGAUUUCUGGGUUCGUGAGAAGAGUUUAACAAAGGGUUCGAUUUUGAAGUGUUUGUAGUGAUGAAGGAUUCAAUCGAUUGUUUCAGUGAAGAAGAAGAAUUGGAUUUUUGUUGCGGUGAAGAAUAAGGGUUCGAAGGAACUAUAUUGUUUCUGCGUAUGUUAACUGUGGGAGUUUGUUAACUUUUUUUUUUUUAAAGUUUAAGAUUUUUCUUUAAAAAUUUCACAAAACAAUAAAAAUAAAAAAGAUUUUUCUUUAAAAAAAAAUAAGAAUU
rnacentral:lncRNA from 1 species